UACGGAGGGUGCGAGCGUUGUUCGGAAUUAUUGGGCGUAAAGCGCACGUAGGCGGCCCGUUAAGUCUCUUGGUGAAAGGCCGGGGCUCAACCCCGAGCAUGCCGGGGAUACUGGGGGGCUGGAGACAGGUAGAGGCCAGCGGAAUUCCGGGUGUAGCGGUGGAAUGCGUAGAGAUCCGGAAGAACACCGGAGGCGAAGGCGGCUGGCUGGACCUGAUCUGACGCUGAGGUGCGAAAGCGUGGGGAGCGAA
rnacentral:rRNA from 1 species